ACAGGUGUCACGCGAUUUUUUACUUACAUUCAGAACUACGAAUAGAAGAAUACGGAUUUAUCUUCUGUUUGACAAAUUCCAAAACAUCAGUCGCAGACUGUUUGAAAACACGCACACUGGAAAUAAUAAUAUUGCUUCCCAGCAGGAGACCAACACGUGACCUUGGUCGUGCUCAAGGACGAGUGGUGCCCGUGUGCGGUGAUGAGCAUCUGCGGCAGCUGCGAUCCACAGAACGGCCGAGUACCCGCCAGACCACAACGAACGAGCCAGGCGGGCACAUUUCGACUCUAUGGACGAUUUGGUGGAUACGCACACGCACACUGUGUUGCACUAUUAAAAAUAUGCUUUAUAUAUAUAUAUAUAUAUUAUAUCGGAUGAUACUAAUUGAAAAAUUGCACAUAAAUUUCAACUCUACCUAUUUACGAGAUACGAGUUUUUGCUUUACAUAGAGAUAAUUUAUCUCACGUCACAGUUAUAAGAAUCGGUGAAUUAAUUUUUUUAUAUAUUUUAAAUCUUAUGAGUUUCAUUAUUAACAAUAUUUUCAAAUUUUGCAAUUAAAAUGAAGUAAAUCAAUAUUUUGUCGGUCACAGGUCUGAAUUGUUUAAAUGUUGAUUUAAUUGCUUAACUCACAUUAAAUGAAUGCUCACCUCACUGUUUCUAACAACAGGUGGUACUUCCACCUCCAAGCCUUUCAAGAUGGCGGCGACCCUUUCCAGGGAUAAAGAGAAUCCCACAGACGUACAGUUAAAUUCCGUGUUAUUGUCCUUUACAGCUCUCGCGACUUUCCAGAACUCUUCCACCAAAUUGUCAUACCUGAUGAAAUUAAUUAUCAAGUAUUAUAAAAGGUGCGAGCGACAGGAGGGGCGCGGUCAACACGUGCCCAUAUAAAUCAAUAAUUCCAUUGUUCGGACCAGAUUGAUGUUAACACACAAGAUAUAAAUAUCCUAAGAUAGGUCCGAUGAUAAGUAAAGUAAAAUUUAAAUCGUACACAUUUAUUUUUCAGGCGACUAGACGA